rnacentral:rRNA from 1 species
UACGGGGGGGGCAAGCGUUGUUCGGAAUUACUGGGCGUAAAGGGCGCGUAGGCGGCAAUUCAAGUCAUCUGUGAAAUCUCCGGGCUUAACUCGGAAUGGUCAGGUGAUACUGCUUUGCUAGAGUGCAGAAGGGGCAAUCGGAAUUCUUGGUGUAGCGGUGAAAUGCGUAGAUAUCAAGAGGAACACCUGAGGUGAAGACGGGUUGCUGGGCUGACACUGACGCUGAGGCGCGAAAGCUAGGGGAGCAAACGGG